rnacentral:lncRNA from 1 species
GUGUUUUUCUUGGUUAUAGCUCUCUUCAUAAAGGAUACAAAUGUCUUCAUGUGCCAACUAAUCGUGUCUACAUCUCUCGGGAUGUUGUGUUUGAUGAGCAUGUUUUUCCCUUUGCCAAACUCCCUGUGUCCACUACCGAGCCACCUGUCAUGCAUUCAUCCUCUGUUGCUUCUGACCAAUUUGAUGAUGUUGCAUAUUCUCCUCUAUUGUUGCCUAACCAUGGUGCAGGCACUGGUCGUGGGGCUCGUUUGGAGAUUCUGGAAGUGCCAUCUUCCUCUUCGUCGCCAUCGCCUUCAUCCUCGGCACCUUCUGUUGUGCAUGAGGAGCACAUGGCGCCCCUGCAUGGCCUCGGUUUCCGUGCUCAUGCACGGCCGAUCGACGUCCUGGCCCGGUCGCCUCUGGCUUCUGGGCUGCCUUCGCCAUCGUCGCGCCCUGCAACCCCGCCGACUGGGCCGGCCUCCUCGGUCCCCGUCUCGCCCAGGGCGUCGGGGCAGUCAUCACCAGGCCUGGCCUCGCCCGCCCCUGCCUCGCCCAGGGUGUCUGGGCCCUUCUCAUCAGGGCCGGCCUCGCCUGCUCUCGCCUCGCCAAGGCCGUCUGGGCCGGUGUCACCGGAGCUGGCCUCGCCCACUCUCGGUUCGCCCAUGGCCUCUGAGCCCCUGUCGUCGGGCCAGUCUUCGCCAUGCAGCCCGGAGUCGUCUGUCCCGAGCUCGCCUGAGGUGAUUCCUGCAUCUCCGGCGACCGUCACGUCUCCGUCACCUUCGCCUCCGCCGGCUCCUGCUGCUGCUCUACGUCCACAUACGCGCAGUCGGAGUGGCAUUUUUCAGCCUAAGCAACGUCACGAUGGCACAGUUGCUUGGUUAGCGGCGUGCAUGUCUGCUGCUCUCGCAGAUUCAUUCUCUGAGCCACGCACGUAUCAAGCUGCUAUGCGCAUUCCUCAUUGGAGAGAGGCCAUGGAGCAGGAGUAUCAAGCGCUUCUUCGCAAUCAGACAUGGACUCUUGUUCCUCCACAAUCACGGGUAAAUGUCAUUGAUUCCAAAUGGGUUUUCAAAGUGAAGAGGCAUUCUGAUGGGUCCAUUGAGCGCUAUAAGGCUCGUCUGGUUGCUCGUGGUUUUCGACAGCGUUUUGGACUUGACUAUGAAGACACCUUCAGUCCAGUGGUCAAGCCUACUACCAUCAGACUUCUUCUCUCUCUGGCUGUUACUCGAGGUUGGUUUCUUCGUCAGCUUGAUGUUCAAAAUGCUUUUCUUCAUGGUGUCUUGGCGGAGGAGGUUUACAUGCGCCAGCCUCCGGGUUUCUCUGAUCCGGAUCGCCCUGAUCAUCUCUGUCGUCUUUCCAAGGCAAUUUAUGGUCUGAAGCAGGCUCCUCGUGCUUGGCAUGCUCGUCUUGCAAUGGCUCUUCGUGCUCAUGGUUUUGCAUCAUCAACUGCUGACUCCUCAUUGUUUCUUCUUCAAAGGCCUGAGGUUACUAUGUACUUGUUGGUCUAUGUAGAUGAUAUCAUUUUGGUCAGCUUCUCUCAGUCGGCUGCUACUGCGCUUGUUCGCUCACUUGGUGCUGAUUUUGCGGUCAAGGACCUUGGGAAGCUUCAUUACUUUCUUGGUGUGGAGGUUACUUCUCGUGCUGCUGGCCUUGUUAUGACGCAGAAGAAGUACUCUCUGGAUUUGUUGCAGCGAGCUGGGAUGCUUAAGUGCAAACCGACGACCACACCCAUGUCUACCACUGAUAAGCUCAAUGCUGUUGAUGGUGUGCUUCUUUCUUCUUCUGAUGCGACAGAGUACAGGAGUAUUGUUGGUGGGCUCCAGUACUUGACGAUCACGCGACCAGACAUUUCCUAUGCUGUUAACCGAGUCUGCCAGUAUCUGCAGUCACCCCAUGACACUCAUUGGUCUGCUGUUAAGCGGAUUUUGCGCUAUAUUCGUUUCACGGUGGCUCAUGGUUUGCAUAUUCGGCCGUCUGACUCUGGUUGUCUUUCAGCAUAUUCUGAUGCAGACUGGGCUGGCAAUCCGGAUGACAGGCGAUCCACGGGGGGUUAUGCUGUCUUCUUUGGCUCUAACCUGAUUGCCUGGAGUGCUCGGAAACAGGCUACUGUCUCGCGUAGCAGUACUGAGGCUGAGUAUAAGGCUGUGGCCAAUGCCACAUCAGAGAUCAUCUGGGUACAGUCCUUGCUUCAGGAGUUAAGUAUACCCCAAUCACAGCCUCCUGUUCUUUGGUGUGAUAACAUCGGUGCUACAUACCUUUCUGCAAAUCCGGUAUUCCAUGCCCGAACGAAACACAUUGAAGUUGACUAUCACUUUGUGCGUGAACGUGUCUCUCAGAAGCAACUACAGAUCAAGUUUAUUUCUUCCAAGGAUCAACUUGCUGACAUCUUCACCAAGCCAUUGCCUUUGCCACAGUUUGAGACUUGCAGGCGCAAUCUUACCCUUCUAGAUUCAUUAGAAAGUGGCUAAGAUUGAGGGAGGGUGUUAGACUGUAUUUACAUGUGUAUAUUGUAACGUUGUAUAUCACCUCAUUAUAUAUAUAUGUGAUAGGCCACCCCUAGAGGGUUGUGCCGGUUCCCCCCAAAGCCUAUUGUCUUACACUGUGCAUGCGUAUUUCAUUGUUUUUACGUAUCACGAAGGUCCUUUAUUGUUACGUAACUUGUCAUUACACACACAAGCACAACAGCUCCGUUAUUCUGCGGGGUAGGUAGCGAGAGACGCAUGCAUGUUGUCUAUCCGGGACGGUCCACAUGACAUCGUUUCUUCAGUAGAUACGUACGUACGCAUGUGUGGAUAUCUCGAUCUCCCCGCGUACGUGCACGAGCCAUGCAUGGCGCGCGCUGGCUGGCUGGCUCAGUAGUACGGCUGGAGCUUCCAGCGCUGGUUGUCGCCCUCGCACCACUUCCAGAGCACGACCUCGGUGCCGUCGCGCACGCCGCCGUGGUACUUGUCGCCGUUGAGGGCGUCGAAGUUGAGGUAGAUGUUGUUCACCAUGCGCACGCACCUGAACCCGUUGCCCACGUCCCUGCUCUCCGUCCACAGCACCGACUCGUCCAGGUAGUCUGGGUUGUACGGCACCAGACGCACCUGCAUGCACACCAAGAUGAUUCUAGAUUUCAGUUUAUGAAAACACAAAUGAAUGAAGGCAGCAGAGACUACUUACAGGGUGUGACUGGCCGAGGGAGUGCUUGAUGGCCUGCCCGGUGGCCUUGUUCACCAUGGCGAAGGCGGGGUAGCCCUCCUCGUCCUUGAUGCUGGUGCUCCACCUCAUGUCCUUGAUCCAGUGCUGGUAGUCGUCCUUGGGGUUGGCCGGCGCCAGCACCACCUUGCCGUUGCGCACGGACAUGGCGUAGUUGGGGUUGGCGCGGCAGUAGAUCUUCACCGUGGGCUGCGGCGGCAUCGGCCGCCCGCCGCAGUUGCCGUCGAUGUUCACCUGCGACAUGCCGUACGGCACCGGCGCCGCGUACCCGGGCGUCGCCAUCCCGUACCCGCCGUAGGUCUCGCGGUAGUAGUCCAUGGCUAUAUGCUCGAUCUCCUGAUCGACCUGCGCAAUGCAUGGCGACGGGACGGAGGAAUUUAUAGGGGCGACGGGACGAUCAUAUUCCAUUGGUGUGCUCUAAUACAUGGCGUUGGCCUCACGCUGCCUGUCAUGGUGAUAAGCGAUGUGGAUGUGCGGGGUGGUGGUGGGAUUCCAUGGAGCGAUUCCGUGGGAUAGACAGAUGAUGCCAUGGGACACUAGCUAGCUAGGUGGUGAGAUGUGGGUGUGCCGGACCAAGCUAGAGCCUGAGCUGGCUAGCUUUGCGUGAUUCGAUUUCUUUCUGGUAGUUUUGGGAAGAAGAAUCCCUCUCGUACGUACGUCCUCUAUUAUUGCUGGGGAGAUAGCUAGGGGAAGCCGAAUUUUACUAUGUGCUGUGCUUUGUCGCCGCACCGAUACAUUCCCGGUGUGCUCAUGAUGUGCUCGUUUCAAAAGUGAAGAUUUUUCUCCCGAAGAAAACUCUAAAGAAAAGAAAAGGAAAUAUUCGCGAUAGAAAUGGUAAGGUAAAGCGUCAAGACGGAACGGCCCAUUUCUGGAAUCUGGAUCAAUAAUUCAAUAUACUACCCCCCGCAGCACCAGAGAGAGGCGGGCCGGACUUGAUUUCGUUAUUAUGUAAAUUAAACAAUUGUACGUGGCCCGGCAAGACAUAUGGCAUUGGAUUCGUAUAAUCAUGGCCCGGUCUACCAGCAUGGCCCAGCGCAAGACAAGAUCUCAAAAAACAAAACUUACCGGGGCAUGCGGAUUAACUGAGCUCCAGCUCGGGUGAACAGUAAAAUCCAAAAGAAUUUAAAACAAAUUAAAUAAUUCUAAAAAAACUGUGGCAACAUUUGACAAAUGUUUAAAUGCCUGCAAAGUUUCACCAUAAAAUGAGAUCCGUGCAAGUUGUAGCAAAACAAAACCCCAAAAUCAAUGCUCCAAAAAGUUUUUUUCUAAGUGACUAUUUUUUUUUGCCACGACUUCAUGAAACAUUGCAAACAUUGAAAAUAUUUGUCAAAGUUUGUCACACAAAAAUUUCAGAAUUUUUUGCUUUUGUUUUCAUUUUUUUUUGGAUUUUACUGUUCACCCGAGUUCAUAUGAGUUCGAGCUGAGAACGGCACUUUCGCUUAUGAGGUUGUAUAGUUCAAUCAAUUUUUCAAGACCUUCAAGAUUAGUUUAGUUUGAGCUGAUAUGGUCUUCUGGCAAAGGGCAUCUUCAACGCUGAAAGGGCAUUUUCAACGCUGACUCCCAAAUCGGACAUACCAAAUUCGUCCGUGGACUGGUGGGUAUCAUUCUGUGGAAAGUGAUGCGGGAGCCAGUCAUUCAACCGUGCCCGCAUACAUCUCAAACCGGAUUUCAACAAACCGAAGGAAGUACACGCAAAUCAAAUGAUUUUCAUCUAAAUUGGAGCACAUUCAUUACAUUUUCGUCAUAUUUUCAUUAAACUAGCAUUUACAUGUCAAUGCCUCUUCUUAUUCCCUUUUUUUGGAGUCCUUUUCAACAUGUUUUGUGUAUUUUAUUCUCACGGUGGCAACUGAAUUUUGAAGGAAAUUUGUAGAUUGCUUAAGUGGCAAUAGUAUGGAAACAAAAUCUAGGACUUUUCAUGACCAAUUGCCCUAGUUCUUUAGAAUGGCAUCAUUUUAUUUCUUCGGGAGCUUUCGAAUGGUAUCAUGGUGUAAUGUAAAGGCUAGUAUCACUACAAGGAGGUUGCUAUACAUGGCAUACUCAUUGCAAAGAGCACUUUCCCUGCAUUUGUUCCUGUGGAAAACUUGUCUUGCAAAUCGUUAAGGCCUUGUUCGGUUCCAUGAUAAAUGAGAGGGAUUGACAUGUAUCGGCAGGGAUUAAAUCCCAUCUAGUUCAAANNNNNNNNNNNNNNNNNNNNNNNNNNNNNNNNNNNNNNNNNNNNNNNNNNNNNNNNNNNNNNNNNNNNNNNNNNNNNNNNNNNNNNNNNNNNNNNNNNNNNNNNNNNNNNNNNNNNNNNNNNNNNNNNNNNNNNNNNNNNNNNNNNNNNNNNNNNNNNNNNNNNNNNNNNNNNNNNNNNNNNNNNNNNNNNNNNNNNNNNNNNNNNNNNNNNNNNNNNNNNNNNNNNNNNNNNNNNNNNNNNNNNNNNNNNNNNNCAAAUCCCCUCCAUUCCACUCCAAUCCACUUGGGGAGUGGCUUAACCAAGGCCUAAAGGGAAAAUUUAACGGACUAGUUCUCACAUUUCAACUCCAUGUUAGAGGCACAACUUGAGCUUACAGUAUGAUUUUCAAGUAUGGAAUUUAGAUACAGUAUUUCUAAGGAGAGUACACAUUUCCCCUCGCAAAAUCAAGCCUGUUUGAUCUGAGAAAUUGGGCAUGGCAGAAGCUGAUGAACAAGCAAGGCCCCAACGGGUACAACAAACGUAGUACGAGGAGGGUGGAAGAUAGGUGAGCCCAUUGAUUAGAUCGCAGAAAAACGGAGACAAUGCAGGUCACAGAGUAGCACAGUACAGGGCCCAGUACCAAGAAAACACAGACGAGUUACAUCAAAGUUCAGACUUCGGAAUCAUGGUCCCUCUCCUCACUCUCUCCAACACUCUCUUCUUCCUCGCAGAAACGCCGGCUCAAUCAUUCAAUCACAAGGCGACACACGCACACAGACACCAUUGCCACACAUCGCACACGGUUUUAUUUGGACACAGCAACAUUAUUCGCUACCAGCGGCAGAGGACUACGACGACGACGGACGGACGGACGGACGGACGGCGACUAGGACGACUUGGGGGGCUUGUCCCCGGACUAAUCCAUGGCGAUGUGUCGAUGGCAAUGCGGCAGCUCAU